GACGAACGCUGGCGGCGUGCUUAACACAUGCAAGUCGAACGGAAAGGCCCUGCUUUUGUGGGGUGCUCGAGUGGCGAACGGGUGAGUAACACGUGAGUAACCUGUCCUUGACUUUGGGAUAACUUCAGGAAACUGGGGCUAAUACCGGAUAGGAGCUCCUGCUGCAUGGUGGGGGUUGGAAAGUUUCGGCGGUUGGGGAUGGACUCGCGGCUUAUCAGCUUGUUGGUGGGGUAGUGGCUUACCAAGGCUUUGACGGGUAGCCGGCCUGAGCGGGUGACCGGCCACAUUGGGACUGAGGUAGGGCCCAGACUGCUACGGGAGGCAGUAGUGGGGAAUAUUGCACAAUGGGCGGAAGCCUGAUGCAGCAACGCCGCGUGCGGGAUGACGGCCUUCGGGUUAUAAACCGCUUUCGCCUGUGACGAGGCGUGAGUGACGGUAAUGGGUAAAGAAGCACCGGCUAACUACGUG
rnacentral:rRNA from 1 species